rnacentral:rRNA from 1 species
CUGAAUCAGUGUGUGUGUUAGUGGAAGCGUCUGGAAAGGCGCGCGAUACAGGGUGACAGCCCCGUACACAAAAAUGCACAUACUGUGAGCUCGAUGAGUAGGGCGGGACACGUGGUAUCCUGUCUGAAUAUGGGGGGACCAUCCUCCAAGGCUAAAUACUCCUGACUGACCGAUAGUGAACCAGUACCGUGAGGGAAAGGCGAAAAGAACCCCGGCGAGGGGAGUGAAAAAGAACCUGAAACCGUGUACGUACAAGCAGUGGGAGCACGCUUAGGCGUGUGACUGCGUACCUUUUGUAUAAUGGGUCAGCGACUUAUAUUCUGUAGCAAGGUUAACCGAAUAGGGGAGCCGAAGGGAAACCGAGUCUUAACUGGGCGUUAAGUUGCAGGGUAUAGACCCGAAACCCGGUGAUCUAGCCAUGGGCAGGUUGAAGGUUGGGUAACACUAACUGGAGGACCGAACCGACUAAUGUUGAAAAAUUAGCGGAUGACUUGUGGCUGGGGGUGAAAGGCCAAUCAAACCGGGAGAUAGCUGGUUCUCCCCGAAAGCUAUUUAGGUAGCGCCUCGUGAAUUCAUCUCCGGGGGUAGAGCACUGUUUCGGCAAGGGGGUCAUCCCGACUUACCAACCCGAUGCAAACUGCGAAUACCGGAGAAUGUUAUCACGGGAGACACACGGCGGGUGCUAACGUCCGUCGUGAAGAGGGAAACAACCCAGACCGCCAGCUAAGGUCCCAAAGUCAUGGUUAAGUGGGAAACGAUGUGGGAAGGCCCAGACAGCCAGGAUGUUGGCUUAGAAGCAGCCAUCAUUUAAAGAAAGCGUAAUAGCUCACUGGUCGAGUCGGCCUGCGCGGAAGAUGUAACGGGGCUAAACCAUGCACCGAAGCUGCGGCAGCGACGCUUAUGCGUUGUUGGGUAGGGGAGCGUUCUGUAAGCCUGUGAAGGUGUGCUGUGAGGCAUGCUGGAGGUAUCAGAAGUGCGAAUGCUGACAUAAGUAACGAUAAAGCGGGUGAAAAGCCCGCUCGCCGGAAGACCAAGGGUUCCUGUCCAACGUUAAUCGGGGCAGGGUGAGUCGACCCCUAAGGCGAGGCCGAAAGGCGUAGUCGAUGGGAAACAGGUUAAUAUUCCUGUACUUGGUGUUACUGCGAAGGGGGGACGGAGAAGGCUAUGUUGGCCGGGCGACGGUUGUCCCGGUUUAAGCGUGUAGGCUGGUUUUCCAGGCAAAUCCGGAAAAUCAAGGCUGAGGCGUGAUGACGAGGCACUACGGUGCUGAAGCAACAAAUGCCCUGCUUCCAGGAAAAGCCUCUAAGCAUCAGGUAACAUCAAAUCGUACCCCAAACCGACACAGGUGGUCAGGUAGAGAAUACCAAGGCGCUUGAGAGAACUCGGGUGAAGGAACUAGGCAAAAUGGUGCCGUAACUUCGGGAGAAGGCACGCUGAUAUGUAGGUGAAGCGACUUGCUCGUGGAGCUGAAAUCAGUCGAAGAUACCAGCUGGCUGCAACUGUUUAUUAAAAACACAGCACUGUGCAAACACGAAAGUGGACGUAUACGGUGUGACGCCUGCCCGGUGCCGGAAGGUUAAUUGAUGGGGUCAGCGCAAGCGAAGCUCUUGAUCGAAGCCCCGGUAAACGGCGGCCGUAACUAUAACGGUCCUAAGGUAGCGAAAUUCCUUGUCGGGUAAGUUCCGACCUGCACGAAUGGCGUAAUGAUGGCCAGGCUGUCUCCACCCGAGACUCAGUGAAAUUGAACUCGCUGUGAAGAUGCAGUGUACCCGCGGCAAGACGGAAAGACCCCGUGAACCUUUACUAUAGCUUGACACUGAACAUUGAGCCUUGAUGUGUAGGAUAGGUGGGAGGCUUUGAAGUGUGGACGCCAGUCUGCAUGGAGCCGGCCUUGAAAUACCACCCUUUAAUGUUUGAUGUUCUAACGUGGACCCGUAAUCCGGGUUGCGGACAGUGUCUGGUGGGUAGUUUGACUGGGGCGGUCUCCUCCUAAAGAGUAACGGAGGAGCACGAAGGUUGGCUAAUCCUGGUCGGACAUCAGGAGGUUAGUGCAAUGGCAUAAGCCAGCUUGACUGCGAGCGUGACGGCGCGAGCAGGUGCGAAAGCAGGUCAUAGUGAUCCGGUGGUUCUGAAUGGAAGGGCCAUCGCUCAACGGAUAAAAGGUACUCCGGGGAUAACAGGCUGAUACCGCCCAAGAGUUCAUAUCGACGGCGGUGUUUGGCACCUCGAUGUCGGCUCAUCACAUCCUGGGGCUGAAGUAGGUCCCAAGGGUAUGGCUGUUCGCCAUUUAAAGUGGUACGCGAGCUGGGUUUAGAACGUCGUGAGACAGUUCGGUCCCUAUCUGCCGUGGGCGCUGGAGAACUGAGGGGGGCUGCUCCUAGUACGAGAGGACCGGAGUGGACGCAUCACUGGUGUUCGGGUUGUCAUGCCAAUGGCACUGCCCGGUAGCUAAAUGCGGAAGAGAUAAGUGCUGAAAGCAUCUAAGCACGAAACUUGCCCCGAGAUGAGUUCUCCCUGACUCCUUGAGAGUCCUGAAGGAACGUUGAAGACGACGACGUUGAUAGGCCGGGUGUGUAAGCGCAGCGAUGCGUUGAGCUAACCGGUACUAAUGAACCGUGAGGCUUAACCUU